CGGUUCAAAAUCCAAUCCCACGCGCUAAAGGACGACACUGUAACACACGCACCCCUCUAGUGCUGACUAGAAUUGGACGUGACCUUCGGAGAAAAGACACUCGGGAGAGAAAUAACAUGCGAAGACGAACAAACGGAGAAGACGAAGAAAAAUAACGCAGUCGUUCGAAACCUUAAAAAUCUCGGAUUUUCCAUCACGCGAGAGCUCGAGUUCACUAUAUUUCUAUGGAAGAAGAGAGACGAUUAGGAGAUGAGCUCUCGCUCGCUGUCGUGACGGCGGAGCGACUCCGUCAGGCUGCCGACGAGGCUGAGUCGUUCAAAUUGGAAUGUGGAGAAGUCGGAAAGCAAGUUGAUCGGCUUGCCCAGAUGCUCAGAACCCUGGUUCGUCUCGUUACUGGUUCCGUACAUAUCUACGAUCGACCAAUUCAUCGCGUCAUCGUCGAGGUUCAAAAGAAUCUGGAGCGAGCUUUGGCUCUGGUUCGGAAGUGCAAGGGGCAUAGCAUAAUCAGGCGGGUUUGCUCCAUCACCAACGCCGCCGAUUUCCGCAAGGUGAUCAACCUUCUGGAAUCUUCCAACGGUGAUGUGAAAUGGCUUCUCAGCGUGUUUGAUUCCAAUGGGGACGAUAGCUUCGGCGGAGGAAUCAACAUCUCUCUCCCUCCGAUUGCCACGAACGACCCGAUUCUCCCCUGGGUCUGGUCGUUGAUCGCGUCGACUCAGAUGGGUCGGUUUCCGGACAAAAUUGAGGCAGCGAACCAGCUUGGUUCGCUUGCGCGAGACAAUGACAGGAACAAGAAGAUCAUUGUCGAUGAAGGAGGUAUUCCUUCUCUGCUGAGGCUUCUGAAGGAGAGCUCGUCGGUGGAGGCGCAAAUUGCGGCGGCAACGACGUUACGGUUCUUGGCUUCAGACCAGGAUAAGGUAAAGGCCAUUGUUAGCGAGCUCGGUGUCCCGAUCAUAGUUCAAGUUCUGGGUGAUUCUCCGAUAAGGGUCCAGAUAAAGGUGGCUGAUUUGGUGGCAAGAAUGGCGGAGCAUGAUGAUGUAGCUCAAGACGAGUUUGCCCGGCAAAGCGUGAUCAGGCCAUUGGUUACGCUGCUUUCGCUGGAUGUGUUUCUUGACGAUCUUCAAUUGAGUAAGCAUAAUAGCAUUCGUUCUCUUGUGCAGAUGAAUAAAGAAAUCGAUAGAGAUCCGUCACAGAAGAGUUACAACUACAAGUCAUAUAUGAGUUCCAAUUCCAGUGUAUACAGUGACACUGGUGGUGGUAGAGCUGGCCAUUAUCACAGGAAAGAAAGAGAGAGUGAGAAUCCUGAGGUGAAACAUCAGCUUAAGGUUAGUUGUGCAGAAGCUCUAUGGAAGCUAGCCAGGGGGAAUGUAGCAAAUAGCCGAAGGAUAACCGAGACAAAAGGGUUACUUUCCUUAGCUAAGUCAGUGGAAAAAGAAGUCGGAGAAUUGCAGUACAAUUGCUUGAUGACGCUGACGGAGAUUACCGCCGCUGCAGAAUCAAGUGCAGACCUUAGACGUGCGGCUUUCAAGACCAAUUCCCCGGCUGCUAAGGCAGUUGUUGACCAAAUGCUAUGGCUACUUAUCCAAGUGGAUAGCCCCUUUCUGUUGGUCCCUGCAAUUAGAUCAAUCGGGUCAUUGGCUCGGACAUUCCCCGCAAGGGAGACAAGAAUAAUCAAACCUUUGGUCAUGAAACUUGGUUGCCCUAAUCAGGAAGUGGCCAUGGAAGCUGUGGUUUCGCUCCAGAAAUUUGCUUCUCAUGAGAACUUCCUCUGCGCAGAGCACUCCAAGGCUAUAAUUGAAUUCGGGGCAAUCCCAUCAGUGAUGAAACUGAUAAGGAACAGCGAUCAGCAAGUGCAGUUACAAUGUCUGAUUCUACUCUGUUACUUUGCCCUGAAUGCUAGUAACCAUGAACAACUGGAGCAGGCAAAGGUUUUAUCUGCACUUGAAGGGGCUGAUCGAGUGGUAAUUUCCCAGAAUCCCGAUUUCAAAGAACUUGCGACCAAAGCAAUAUACCAGCUCAGUCUCUACAAUGUUGGAUUACACAGCCAAAUUCUCUCAUACGUUGGGCCAUGAGAUUCGGUCAGUUCCUUAAUAUCGGACUGGCAAUAUAGUGUUUCUUCUUCUGAUUGGGUCGGUGGUAGAGCCGUGUAGGAUGUACAAACUGGAUUAGCGGGCAAGAACAGAACCUGGUUUGGUGUUGAUUACCUCCACAUGCCUUGUGAAGUUAUGCAGAAGCUUUGGAAGACUUCAAUGCUCGAUCUAGAAGUUGGAUACAGAUAAAACACAAGCUGAUUCACU